rnacentral:rRNA from 1 species
UACGGGGGGGGGCAAGCGUUGUUCGGAAUUACUGGGCGUAAAGGGCUCGUAGGUGGCCAACUAAGUCAGACGUGAAAUCCCUCGGCUUAACCGGGGAACUGCGUCUGAUACUGGAUGGCUUGAGUGUGGGAGAGGGAUGCGGAAUUCCAGGUGUAGCGGUGAAAUGCGUAGAUAUCUGGAGGAACACCGGUGGCGAAGGCGGCAUCCUGGACCAAUUCUGACGCUGAGUGAGCGAAAGCCAGGGGAGCAAACGGG